rnacentral:rRNA from 1 species
UACGAAGGGUGCAAGCGUUACUCGGAAUUACUGGGCGUAAAGCGUGCGUAGGUGGUGAGUUAAGUCUGUCGUGAAAGCCCCGGGCUCAACCUGGGAAUGGCGAUGGAAACUGGCUCGCUUGAGUAUGUAAGAGGUGAGCAGAACUUAUGGUGUAGGGGUGAAAUCCGUUGAUAUCAUAGGGAAUACCAAAUGCGAAGGCAGCUCACUGGUACAUUACUGACGCUGAGGCACGAAAGCGUAGGUAGCGAAUGGG